rnacentral:lncRNA from 1 species
GAAUGGACCUUUCGUCCACGACCUUAGUUCCGGUUGGAAUUGGACCCGGUACUAAUGUAAGCAUUAGUACCAGGCCUAACGGAUAGUUCCCGAGAUAGCUCCCGUGAGCCCCUUUAGUAUCGAGUGGGAGCACCACCUGGUCACCUUUAGUACCGGAUGUACCGUGUAGAGCUCUCACCUGGUGUACUAAAGGUUCCAUCCACCCCACCCUCCCUCUCUCAAACAUUUUAUCCUCAGGCUCACACUCAUCCUCACACUUCAUCCUUCAUCCUCACACUCAUCCGCCCCCGCCCCCUCCUCUCUCUCUCUCUCUCAGAAGUUCUCACCCUCACACUUCAUCUGCCUCCCCUCCC